rnacentral:rRNA from 1 species
GACGAACGCUGGCGGCGUGCCUAAUACAUGCAAGUCGAACGCACUCUCGUUUAGAUUGAAGGAGUUUGCUCCUGAUUGAUAAACAUUUGAGUGAGUGGCGGACGGGUGAGUAACACGUGGGUAACCUGCCCUAAAGUGGGGGAUAACAUUUGGAAACAGAUGCUAAUACCGCAUAAAACCUAACACCGCAUGGUGUAGGGUUGAAAGAUGGUUUCGGCUAUCACUUUAGGAUGGACCCGCGGUGCAUUAGUUAGUUGGUGCGGUAACGGCUCACCAAGACCGUGAUGCAUAGCCGACCUGAGAGGGUAAUCGGCCACACUGGGACUGAGACACGGCCCAGACUCCUACGGAGGCAGCAGUAGGGAAUCUUCCACAAUGGACGAAAGUCUGAUGGAGCAACGCCGCGUGAGUGAAGAAGGUUUUCGGAUCGUAAAACUCUGUUGUUGGAGAAGAAUGUAUCUGAUAGUAACUGAUCAGGUAGUGACGGUAUCCAACCAGAAAGCCACGGCUAACUACGUG